GUAGCAGAGAGGUGCUCCUGAAACACUACAGGUUUCACCACUAUCAAGGGCGAUCCUGGCAGCAGCCUUGCCUGUAUACUGACUGCAUUUGCACUUGCAAAACUAUAGGAAAGGGAUGCAUUACAUGAGGAAUUGAAGAAGAAACAUCUCAACAUGGCAUUUGUUGACUCGAAAAUGGAAUCGACAUUCUCAUUGAGAAGGAAGGAGAUAGCUGAAGAAGAACCUCUUGUAGCUGAUGUACUAAGACAAUGGCCAGCAUUGUUUUUGGAACAUCAGAUAUGUGCUGAGUUUUACAGAAUCACACAAACAAACCUGAAGAGUAAAUUUUUCUCUUCUCUGGAUGAAUAUACACCGCGGAUGAUCAAGUUGUAUAGGGUACGCGGCGGAGCAUAUGGAGAUAAUAUGAAGACCCUCCUAGACCAACUUGAUAAUCAGACCUCCAAUGUGCUUGCUCAUAGAAAGGCUACAGCUCUCAAAGGGAAAAGUGAAGAUUUCCUGAAGACUUGCCUGGUAAGAUGAUUUAUCAGCACAUACAUUUAUACUUCAAAUCCAUCUCCAGAUCCUAUCAGGGGGUAACAGUUUUGUCUGGAAUCCAAAACUAAUCCAUUAACUCUACUGUCUGCCAUGACAUAGGAGACAAAGUGAUGGUAAAAGUAGUUUAUUAAUUUGAGUUUCUCAGUGUUUGGAUUUCUGAUUUCAUCUGAAAACACCAUUCAAAGUAUUAUUCUAAAGCAAAGAUAAUAGUUAAUUACUGCUGCAAAACACUGUCCUGAGACAUUGAAAACCUUGAGAUGGAGACAUUCCAUCUGACCUCCAACCUGUGAAAAGAAUACAGCACACAACACAAUCAUAAGAUUAAGCAGUAAUGUAGCAAAAACCAAGGGUAAGUGAGAUUAAUAUGAAAUGA